rnacentral:rRNA from 1 species
UGGGGAAUAUUGCGCAAUGGGCGAAAGCCUGACGCAGCAACGCCGUGUGAGUGAUGAAGGCCCUCGGGUCGUAAAGCUCUGUCAGCAGGGAAGAUGGGUGGUGAAAUUAAUAAUUUCAUCAUUUGACGGUACCUGCAAAGGAAGCACCGGCUAACUCUGUGCCAGCAGCCGCGGUAAUACAGAGGGUGCAAGCGUUGUUCGGAAUUAUUGGGCGUAAAGCGCGCGUAGGCGGUUACAUAUGUCUGACGUGAAAGCCCGGGGCUCAACCCCGGAAGUGCAUCGGAAACUGUGUAACUAGAGUCCCGGAGAGGAUGGUGGAAUUCCAGGUGUAGAGGUGAAAUUCGUAGAUAUCUGGAGGAACAUCAGUGGCGAAGGCGGCCAUCUGGACGGUGACUGACGCUGAGGUGCGAAAGCGUGGGUAGCGAACAGG